AACGUGCUGGAACGUGCUGGAACAUGCUGGAACAUGCUGGAAUGUGCUGGAACAUGCUGGAACAUGCUGCCAUGACCGGCAGCAUUCUUUAUUGCAUCUUUUAUUGGCUGGCUAAAGGAGUGCAAGACAUCACUGGACGCCAAGGCACAAACCCCAGACUCCUGCAAGUCGAGCGAGAUCCCGUCAUUGGACUUGUUUGAAGUAUGACCGGGCUCAGGAGCGACCAUGGGAGCAGAGCAGCAGGGCCGGCUCCUGUCCUUAGGCGCUGAGGCCCUGCCAGUGUCAGAAUACCUUUCAGUUAGCACUUGAUUUACAGCCAAAAGAAACAGGUUAGUUGACCUGAAACAAUAACCCAAAAGAAACCAUUAACGGUGGAACAAAACACAGUUUGUGAUCCUUGGGGCUGGUGCUUAUGGAGCCUGUGGCCCAGAAGCUUAUGUAGGUUGAUCCAGAAGCUUGUGCAUGGGAAGUUAAGUAGUACUGGGCCAAUUUUACAGUCAGACACCAAUCACACCUCUGGUCUGUGCAGGCUCUAGAUGUUGAUGACCUGGUGUGGAAUGGGCUCUACCUUAGCAUCCCAGAGCCAAGAUCUGGUAACACUUUGUGACCUAACCCUAGUGGACUCUGGUUUCUGUCACACAGGCCAAGUCUGGUGCAUGUUUCCAAAGCACUAAAGCUAUCAGUAAAAUAUCUCCCAGCCUCUGGUUCACUCAGGGGACCAGCAAAUGUUCUCCAGUAUUUAUAUAGCUCUUUUGGACUAUAUCCACUGAUUUAUACAGUGGAUUACCACAGUAAUAUAAAGGCUUCUGAAUGUAAAUAUUCAUGGGGUACGCUCGUAUUGCCUGAGGUAUACGUGUGUUGUUUUUUGACAUAAAUAAUCUGCCAUUCAUGGCUGCAUGUUAGAAGGUUCCGGCAAGGCUGGUCUGCUAAUGGCCGUGCAGAAUAUCUCCAACAACUAGUAACACUGGCAGAAUAAAAUGCCACUGAAUGAUUUGUCCUGGCUUGGGGCACAACACCUUAUGCCAGUGCUAAAUGUGACAGUCCGCAGCCACGGGGGACGACAGACAGCAUCCAAUCAGCUCACUGCAGGCCAGAUUCACCACUGCUUCACAUCACCGUCAUUCACAAUAUAUUUCAUUUCCUGACCACUGAAGUCAUUUUGCCAGGCUUAUUUUUUAAAAUAAAUUUGAGUCCAAAUGA